UUUUUUUUUUUUUUUUUUUUUUUUUUUUUUUUUUUUUUUUUUUUCGCU
rnacentral:ribozyme from 1 species